rnacentral:rRNA from 1 species
AGGAUUCCCCUAGUAGCGGCGAGCGAACCGGGAAGAGCCCAGCUUGAAAAUCGCGUCGCCCUCGGGCGGCGCGAGUUGUAAUCUGGAGAAGCGUCCUCCGCGGCGGACCGGUCCCAAGUUCCCUGGAAAGGGACGUCGGAGAGGGUGAGAACCCCGUCGGGACCGGACCCUGCCGCCCCACGAGGCGCUGUCGACGAGUCGGGCUGUUUGGGAAUGCAGCCCUAAGUGGGAGGUAAAUUCCUUCCAAGGCUAAAUACGGGCGGGAGACCGAUAGCGAACAAGUACCGCGAGGGAAAGAUGAAAAGGACUUUGAAAAGAGAGUUAAAGAGUGCUUGAAAUUGCUGGGAGGGAAGCGAAUGGAGGCCUCGGGCGCGCCCCGGUCGGAUGCGGAACGGCGUCAAGCUGGUCCGCCGCUCGACGCGGGGCGCCGGUCAGCGUGGGCUGUCGCGGCGGGACAAAAGUCGGCCUUCAGCGGCCGGCCGGAAUGCCGUCGGGGCGGCCGAGGGACUCGAAGCGCGCGCCCUCGUGGCGGGCCCCCUUCGCGGGGGGCACCUGCGCGCUCGGGACGCUGGCGGAGCGGGCUUUUCAUCCGACCCGUCUUGAAACACGGACCAAGGAGUCUAACAUGCAUGCGAGCCGGUGGGCGGCAAACCCACGUUGGAGGCGCAAAGAAAUUGACAGGUGUGAUCCCAGGUGUAAACCGGGGUGCAACAUCGACCGACCGUGAUCUUCUGUGAAAGGUUCGAGUGAGAGCAUGCCUGAUGGGACCCGAAAGAUGGUGAACUAUGCCUGAGCAGGGCGAAGUCAGAGGAAACUCUGGUGGAGGCUCGUAGCGAUACUGACGUGCAAAUCGUUCGUCAGACUUGGGUAUAGGGGCGAAAGACUAAUCGAACCAUCUAGUAGCUGGUUCCCUCCGAAGUUUCCCUCAGGAUAGCUGGAGCACGCGAGAAGUUUUAUCGGGUAAAGCGAAUGAUUAGAGGCAUCGGGGGUGAAACACCCUCGACCUAUUCUCAAACUUUAAAUAGGUAAGACGCCGGGGUUGCUUGAGUGAACCCCCGG